GAUGGGGGAGCCUGGUGGGCUGACAUCUCUGGGGUCGCACAGAGUCAGACACGACUGAAGCAACUUAGCAGCAGCAGCAGCAGCAGCAUGCAUUGUAAGGGUGAGCUGUAAUUUAUCAAGCUGGCCUCUAUUGUUGGAAAGCUAAGACUUUAUUUUCUCGCUGUAAUAAUGGGACUUUGGCAUCUUGAACUCAGCACUGGGAGUACAGGGGCUCCUUGCCAUGCCGUCUUGGACAUUGCCCUGCUCUCUUCUCAGCCCACCACUGGCCCUCUUCUGCCCUCAGGUUUCUCUGAUUCAGAGCUGGAGACAAGAAUUUCGUGCAGGUGACUUUUUGAAGGUCUGCCCAGGAGUGAGAUGCAACCUGCCAAGCAUCUUAGGGAAAGGCAGAGGCCCCAGUGUCAGGCGGAGAAUGGUCACAGCCUGUGAGGGGGUCUGGAAGGACAACACGCCCACAUUGCGCAUCGUGAGACCCAGCCGUCACCUACUGGUUGUUUCCAGUUUGGGGCCAUUAUGAAGAGAGCGGCUAUAAGCGUUUGUAGCUGGAACCUGAAUGCAAUAGCUGGAUCAUAAGCAACCACCUUGGCCAGUGAGGAGGGAUGUUAAGGAUGGUGGAGCAACAGUGUAGAAGGAGCCUGGGUCCUGGAUGACUUGGGAGCCACCGCAUUGUCUGGAUGGCCUCUCUUCAGACUUCUCUUACGCGACAGAAAAAUAUCUUACCUUGUUCAGGGAGAUGGAGAAAAUGAACUCUCCAUUCUUUGUUAGAAGAUGCAGACCAGAAGGGGGAAAAAAGGCAAAAGAAAACAAAAUGAAAAACCGACUCCAAUUAAUUUCUCAGGAAUUCGGUCACAUCUUUUUUGGAAAGAAGUUGAGGAAUCUGGAAGAACAUUCCUACAGCCUCUAAUGCUUUCAAAGCACUUCCACACAUAUCUUUUCAUAGAGUCUCGUUGCAUCCUUCCAGGUGGGUUGUAUUUGGACAAGCAGUAUUGACUUCCGCUGACACAGGAAAGGUCUGAGAUUCAGAAGGCGAGUAACUUGUCCAAUCCUCCCCUUCAUGGCCCAAACAGACCACAGGCAGUGUUGGGAUCCCCUGACUUUUUGCCCAGGGCACUGUGGAAAUGCCUGAGAACCGCAAUGGUCCAGGGAUGUCUGGGUAUGAAGCAUUUCAGAGGGCAAGGGUGAAAUCCUUUUCCGCUGAUGACAGUGGAGUGUGCCAGAGCUAAGGCUCAGGUCGAGCAAGGGGCUACCUGCUGUCGGGUGCCGUGGAAUGAGCCUCCAUGAGGGUCCUGCCUCAUCUGAGUCCCUGCUCUGGAAUGUUCAGCUCAAUUCUUUGUCUCUAAACAGCAGCCCCUCAUUCUUCUACAAAGAGAAUGAUAUGGUGGCAAGGCCAUGGGCCACAGCAUUAGACCAACUUUUUGUUAAAAAAAAAAAUCCUUUUCUAGUUACUUCACUACAUGACCUUGGACAUUUUCCUCUGCUCAGCUUCCUUUCUGCUCUGAAACACACGAAUACUUUGAAAGCGCUGUUGGAGAGAUUAAAUUAAACAGCAUAA